UACGUAGGUGGCAAGCGUUGUCCGGAUUUACUGGGCGUAAAGAGCGCGCAGGCGGUCGAAUAAGUCGAAUGUGAAAGCCCCCGGCUCAACUGGGGAGGGUCAUUCGAUACUGUCCGACUCGAAGGCAGGAGAGAGAAGCAGAAUUCCCGGUGUAGUGGUGAAAUGCGUAGAUAUCGGGAGGAAUACCAGUGGCGAAGGCGGCUUCUUGGCCUGUUCUUGACGCUGAGGUGCGAAAGCGUGGGGAGCGAACCGG
rnacentral:rRNA from 1 species